rnacentral:rRNA from 1 species
UACAGAGGGUGCGAGCGUUGUUCGGAAUUAUUGGGCGUAAAGGGCGCGUAGGCGGUGCGGUAAGUCACCUGUGAAAUCUCCUGGCUCAACUGGGAGCUUGCAGGCGAAACUGCCGUGCUGGAGUGUGGGAGAGGUGCGUGGAAUUCCUGGUGUAGCGGUGAAAUGCGUAGAUAUCAGGAGGAACACCGAUGGCGAAGGCAAUCCCCUGGGCCUGCACUGACGCUCAUGCACGAAAGCGUGGGGAGCAAACAGG